GUUUAAGCGUUAUUACCCCCACUUUAAAGAGAACGAAACAGAGGCAGGAUGGGGAAGCCUCUUGUUAAGGAGUCCACACUCAGUACACUGCAAAGCAGGUACCCUGAGUGCCGGCUCCUCCAUCCAAACCCAAUGGCUAGACUUUCCCAUGUGUAGACUACAGCUGGAAAGGAUCUUGGAGGACACAUUUUAGGUCAACCUUCUCGGUGCGAAGACCCCCGACAGGCGAAGCGAUCUGCCCAGGGGUAGGCGGCGAGCGCGUGACAGGCUGCGAGGGGAACCUGAGACGCCCCAGUUUCUCCCUUCCCUUGCUGGCCUCUUGCUCACCCGCAGGGUGCGGGGGAGGCUGGAGGAGGAGCUGAGCAGAAUUGCGGCGGCGGCCGGGGGCCGGGGCUUUUGGGGCGGUCCCUGGCGGCCGCUUGUCCCAGAGCCCUUGGAGGGGAGCGCGCGCGUGCUGGCCUCUCCUGCGCGCUCCCGCCUCCCCGGGGCUCCGAGGAACCCGGGCACGUUCCGGACGGAGACUGCAGAGCUGGGGGUUGCUUCCCGCUGCCAGAGGCCGUGCCGUCCCUGGGACGUGGAGAAGCGCUCGAGCCGUCUCCGCCCCAGGAACUUUCCGCAGACUCAGCGCGAUCUGUCUGCGGAGGGAACCCCAGGUUUUAAAGGCAGUUCUACGAAACCGAGGUGUGCAACGACAGCUAAAAGAUGAAAUUGGGACACAAACACAGAAAAAUCCUCUAAUUCUCCAGCCUCCACCAUCAACACAAGACCACAGCAUCCCACUGACAGAGGAAUUUGAGCCUGUGGCGCAUUGAAGGUGAUGAUAACAACAACAAAAUCCAAUUGCAGAUCAACUCCUGGCCAGAUUGACUCAACCCUUCACAUGAAUGAUCUGAGAUAAGAAGAGACGUGUCCAUUUCCAGGCUUAAAUUUUA
rnacentral:lncRNA from 1 species